CAGGGAUCAGGCAAGCAGCACUCCCAGGCAGGCUCUGCCUUACCCUGUCAUCGUGAGCAACUGGCCUUCCUCGACCUUUCUCCUUCUUGUCCGAAAGCUGAGUGUUUGGUCAGGAAAAGGUGGUAGAAGUUGAACUCAACGGUCUUAAAAUUUGGUGGAUAGAAGCUUUUCACUUUAAAUGAUUUUUCAAGGUUUUCUAAUUCUUGACCUUUACACUUAUUUUAGGUUUAAUUGAUUUGAAGUCCUUACCGGGUGUGGUCAGGAACACAGAAGCUGAAGAGAGGUGAGAAUGUUCCAGGCCCUGGGACAAGCCAGGAGGGAAGGCCUCAGGUUGGUCUAAACGUCACUAGAUGGCAGCAUAAGCAGCGUUCCAGCAAACUGCCUCCUUAGCCUCGAUCCUAAAGUUUCUAGGUUCUUCUCUACUUGUGUUGGUCAAGUUGUCAUUGGUGGACCUUUCAGUCAAAGCAUGAAGCUCCUGGACAGUCUUGUGCUGAAGGACGGGGUGAGGCGUAGCCCACAGAGGGGCCACAUAGGGUCAGCAAACCACGACCACAGCUAAGAAUGGUUUUUACAUUUUUAAAUGGCUGAAAAAGAAACAAAGGACUGAUUUUUCAUGACAUGGGACAAUUAGGUGAAGUUCAAAUUUCAGUGUCUACCGAUGAAGCUCAUUGGGCCCCAGCCACUCCUGCAAGUGUCUGUAUAGUUCUGGCUGGUACUUCCUGCAGCGGCGAAGUUGAGCAGUUACAACAGAGGCCAUAGCCCUCAAGCCUGAACCAUGCCCUGUCUGUCUUGCUGUGGGAAAAGCUGGCCGGCCCCUGAUGGAUAUCACCCUGAUCCAACCAGAGAUGCCCCUGCCAGUCUCUCAGGUCCUAACGCUCUGAGUGCAGGAAUUUGCACUCUCCUUGGUGCUGUGUCCUUAGCUCAGUGAACUAGCACCUGGUGGGGGUAGUGCGGGGCACCUCUAGCUGUCACAGUGUGGUGACCAGUACUGGGAUCACGGUGAGGACGGAGGUGAGCUCUGCCUGUGGAGACCUGGGGGAGGAUCCUCAAAGAAGUGAUAGUCCUUAGGGAACAGGUGAGAGCGCGCGAAGGAAACAGCAUCAUCAAAGAAGCAUUUCAGAAAAAGCACCGCUAGGGAACGUGCAGAGUAGGGAGCAAGGCCAGGUUGUGAAGAGAUGGCCGGGGGUGAGGACAGGGCAGUGAAAACCCUUCCAUAUUAACCUGGGAGGGAGGCAGGAGAAAUAGGUUUGAAAGAGAAAAGUGGGAGGUCCUUUGCUUGUGCUGAACUUGUGGAGCUCGAGUGACGUCAGUCGUCCAGUGUUUGUCUCCAGGCGUGGCUUCGCGCUCCUGCAGCAGGUGCACCUGAAGGACUAAAUUAAGAGCACAGAUGCCUCGGCUCUCCCUCCACCAACGCAGACUACAGAAGGGAAGUUCCCAAAUUUUUGUUGGUGGGAAGGGCAAAGCAGAGCCCUCUAAGGAGGCUGAGCAUGAGAAUUCUGAGAUACUGGAGAAGAUAAACAAUAUGCCCUGAAGGCCCCCCAAAAAAGCGUCAAGAAUAGAGUGGUCACAAUUGCCAUGUGCAGCAGAGAGAAGGAAUCGUGGAUGACAAUCUAGUCACCGGUGACGCUAAGAUGGCCCUGACUAGGGGGCAUGGAGAGCAGGGGAGGGGCCUGGGAUCAGGGUGGAGGAAGAGGCCCAGAUAGACAGAAGGAUGUGGAAAUGGAGGUGGUGCUGCAGGCAGGGUAUAAAGGGAUGGGACGAGGAGAGUGAACCGAUGCCUCUCCUUUCUGGGUGCCAGGCACUGGGCGGAGCCCCAGCAUCCCCGAGGUGCGGCCCAUCGGACAGCACCGGGGGAGGGUCCUUCUAACGAAGCAGGACCCUAGGUUGCAGGGUGGAGGUCUGAGGCCCCACAAAGAUUUGUGCUGUUUCCCCGCCCUGGCUCAUCAAGUGUCCUCUGGGGGGCGUCCUUUCCUCCUCUCUUGUCACUGUCCCAACUAGCUCUGUUAUGUCACUGAUACAGGCCUGCCUGCUGUGUCCACUGUCGGAAGUCAGGCCACAGCGGCUCCGGCCAGGGCCCGGGGUGCUGCAGCCUCCCCCUCCCUCUCUCCCAGCCUUCACUUUCCUGGCUCUCGGUUCUGCCCCUGGCUUCCAGGGCACGGUUCCAGGUUAAGUCCCAGGAGACCCAAACCUUGCCCACAAGUCACUAGUCACUCCCAGCAGUCAAACGAGCUGAGGACAGCAGAGCGGCCGGGCCACCAGAAGAGCUGUCUUCGUGCAGCGACGGUGGGACAGCACUGAACUUGGUGCAGGAGCAGCUGCUGAUGGAAACUGCCCCCAGGACAGCACGAUGAGGAUUUAUAGGAACACAUGUGACAAGGCGAGUGGCUGACUUUGCCCUGCAGUACGUUGUUGAGCAGCAGUGCAUGAGAGAGUUCCUGUUGCUCCACAUCCUCAAGGGCAUUUGGUUUUGUUGCCGUUUUGGAUUUUAGUCUUUCUGGAUGGAAAAGCAUCACCUGGCCGUGGAGGGGAAGUUCAGCUCCACGGAGGGGCUUUUCCUGCGGGUCCCCAGACUGGUCCUCCCACCCCACCCUCUCCUGAUGAAUCGAUGCGACGUCCUAAGGCUUCAGAAUAGCUACAUAUCUUCUCUGGAGUUAGCGUGAAAAUGUGCACAUUUCUGGCUAUAUUGAAACACAUGGCAGGGAGGAAGCAAACUGCCCUGGAGUGCCUAUGACCCCAAAGAGAAGAAACCGUUGUGCCAGGCUGGUUCUGAUCCCAGUUUCCGCUUACAUCAGACUAUACCUAAUAGAAAGGGGAGGUGUGUUCACUCUGGAAAAGGCGGUCAUAAUUCUCGGUGGAAACAGUUGGAAAAGGCCCUGCAAGUCCAGCGACAGCGGAGGAGCGCAGGGGUUCUCAGCACUUCGCUGCCGUCGAAGGACCCUCGGGGAGCCCGUGAAAUGCAAGCUCCAGGCCCCGCUGCACAGAAUGCCUGGGGCCUGAGAAGGGGCAUUUCACAAACACCCAGGACUUUUGGAAGCAUGUUGAUUUGGACAAACUGCAGCAGCCUAAAAAUUUGGAUUUAGAUCUUGACUGUUGCCCAGCAGCCGUGUAACUUUGGACAGAUACUUAAAUGCCUUAAUUCUCAUCUGUGAAAUGGGACCAAUAAUAAUGGGUUGCAGAGAUGCUGCCCUGUGCCUACCCAACCACCAAACGUACUGAAGCGAGAGUUUGAAACACGCGAGAGCUGCUCUGAAGAUGGGAAGAGGGGUUUCAGAAAGUAUAGGAAGUCUUGCUUCUCUGCUGCUUGUUUGUUUCACUCGAAAUAGUAAUAACAAUUAGCUUUUAUGGAGUCCUAAUGUACCAGGCAUUAUCCUAAGCACUUCCAUGUAUUUAAUGCUCAAACAAGCCUAUGAAAUAGCCAAGGAAAGAUUUAGCAACUUAUGGUCACAGCUAGAAACUUGCCAAGUCAGGAUUUGAAGUCGGGACCUCAGAGCCUGGAGUUCUCCCAUCUCCUGGGGUCCCCAGCCCUUAAAAACCUGAUAAUAAACUGAGAGAGAAAAAUUGAAGCAACCACGUGGGGGGAAAAAGUCUUUGUGACUGGCUUAGGCAAAGGUUUCUUAGAUACAACUCUGAAAACAUGAUUCUCAAGAGAACAGAUUAAUAAAUCAGACUUCAUCAGAGUUAAAACUCUGCUCUUUGAAAAACAUGGUUAUAAAACAAAAGGCCAAGCAAUCAACUUGGAGGAAACAUUUGCACAUUGUGUAUUUAAUAAGGGACUUGUAUCUGGAAUAUAUAAAGAACCUUCAAAACUCAACAUAAGCCCGGCC